rnacentral:rRNA from 1 species
CAGUAGCCACGGGAAUACAGAGGGUGCGAGCGUUAAUCGGAUUUACUGGGCGUAAAGCGUGCGUAGGCGGCUUCUUAAGUCGGAUGUGAAAUCCCUGAGCUUAACUUAGGAAUUGCAUUCGAUACUGGGAAGCUAGAGUAUGGGAGAGGAUGGUAGAAUUCCAGGUGUAGCGGUGAAAUGCGUAGAGAUCUGGAGGAAUACCGAUGGCGAAGGCAGUUAUCUGGCCUAAUACUGACGCUGAGGUACGAAAGCAUGGGGAGCAAACAGGAUUAGAUACCCCAGUAGUCCCUGUCUCUUAUAC